CUCUGUGUUAUUUGCACUUUGUGGUACUGCUGCAGAAUCCGUCUUUCGCAGUCAUAUCGCACCAUCCGACAGCUCCCUCCCUCGCCGAUCCGUCUUCUUUCUUUCUUAUUAUUAUUUUUGGAGCGCUGGUGACGGUACUGACCCAGAUAGGAGUGCAGUCACUCGAGGGAUUGUGGGUAACCUGCUAAAUUUGAUUAUAGCCGCACCUCACUGCCCCCCCCUCCACCCCGCAGUACCCCGUAGCGUUUAGUCUGGCGGUGUGAGCACGGAGCAGCCCCCGCCUGCGCGGCUCAGGGCUGGCGGGAUUGGACGGCGGCUCCAUUCGCUUCUCCGUGUUCAGGUCACACGGGUCAGCCCUCUGGCUGCUGUUUAUCCACCUCGCACAUGCAGUAUCCAUGGUGACCUACAUCGCACGUGUGUUUCUGUAUUACGCCUUUACACGCGGGAAUCCUGCAGCAGGUGUGUUCAGGGCUGGGUCACAGGUAAUGCUCAGGUGUUGUGUUAAGGGGUUGGGUCACAGGUAAUGCUCAGGUGUUGUGUUAAGGGGUUGGGUCACAGAGAAUGCUCCGGUGUGUUCAGGUUUGUCUCUCAGGUAAAGCGCAGGUGUGUUCAGGGCUGGGUCACAGGUAAUGCUCAGGUGUUGUGUUAAGGGGUUGGGUCACAGGUAAUGCUCAGGUGUUGUGUUAAGGGGUUGGGUCACAGAGAAUGCUCAGGUGUGUUCAGGGCUGGGUCACAGGUAAUGCUCAGGUGUUGUGUUCAGGUUCAGUAAUCCAUGCGGAAUUUCAGCACGCAAACUCAGCUGUAGGUCCUAAGAACAGAAAACCCGCUGCUCUCAAAAGGAAAGCUGCUGUUUGAAAAGCAGGGUCCAGUGGCCUUCAGCCCUCUGGGCUGCAAACUCCACCACAGUGUGGUGCGGUUAAAAAUAAAUCAGGGCACAAACCAUAGAAAUGCCAACUGAGAUUAAAAUCAUCACAGUAUUAUUACACAAACACACACACAC